GAUGAACGCUGACAGAAUGCUUAACACAUGCAAGUCUACUUGAACUUCGGUUUGGGUGGCGGACGAGUGAGUAACGCGUAAAGAACUUGCCUCACAGUUAGGGACAACAUUUGGAAACGAAUGCUAAUACCUGAUAUUAUGAUUUUAGGGCAUCCUAAAAUUAUGAAAGCUAUAUGCGCUGUGAGAGAGCUUUGCGUCCCAUUAGCUAGUUGGAGAGGUAACGGCUCACCAAGGCGAUGAUGGGUAGCCGGCCUGAGAGGGUGAACGGCCACAAGGGGACUGAGACACGGCCCUUACUCCUACGGGAGGCAGCAGUGGGGAAUAUUGGACAAUGGACCAAAAGUCUGAUCCAGCAAUUCUGUGUGCACGAUGACGUUUUUCGGAAUGUAAAGUGCUUUCAGUUGGGAAGAAAAAAAUGACGGUACCAACAGAAGAAGUGACGGCUAAAUACGUG
rnacentral:rRNA from 1 species